GAUGAACGCUGGCGGCGUGCCUAAUACAUGCAAGUCGAGCGAAGCGGGGACGGGUGAGUAACACGUGGAUAACCUCCUAUACGACUGGGAUAACUUCGGGAAACCGGAGCUAAACCGGAUACUUCUCGCUGGAGCUGCGCUGCAUUAGCUUGUUGGUAAGGUAACUGCUGACAAAGGCAACGAUGCAUAGCCGACCUGAGAGGGUGAUCGGCAACACUGGAACGGAGACACGGUCCAGACUCCUACGGGAGGCAGCAAUAGGGAAUCGUCCGCAAUGGGCGAAAGCCUUACGGAGCCACGCCGCGUGAGGGAUGAAGGUCGUCGGAUCGGAAAACUCUUUUAUUCGGGAAGCGGUACCUAAUCAGAAAGCCACGGCUAACUACGUGCCAGCCGCCGCGGUAAUAC
rnacentral:rRNA from 1 species